rnacentral:rRNA from 1 species
UAAGUUAUUAAGGGCGCACGGUGGAUGCCUUGGCACUAGAAGCCGAUGAAGGACGUUACUAACGACGAUAUGCUUUGGGGAGCUGUAAGUAAGCUUUGAUCCAGAGAUUUCCGAAUGGGGAAACCCAGCAUGAGUUAUGUCAUGUUAUCGAUAUGUGAAUACAUAGCAUAUCAGAAGGCACACCCGGAGAACUGAAACAUCUUAGUACCCGGAGGAAGAGAAAGAAAAUUCGAUUCCCUUAGUAGCGGCGAGCGAAACGGGAAGAGCCCAAACCAACAAGCUUGCUUGUUGGGGUUGUAGGACACUCUAUACGGAGUUACAAAGGACGACAUUAGACGAAUCAUCUGGAAAGAUGAAUCAAAGAAGGUAAUAAUCCUGUAGUCGAAAAUGUUGUCUCUCUUGAGUGGAUCCUGAGUACGACGGAGCACGUGAAAUUCCGUCGGAAUCUGGGAGGACCAUCUCCUAAGGCUAAAUACUCUCUAGUGACCGAUAGUGAACCAGUACCGUGAGGGAAAGGUGAAAAGCA